rnacentral:rRNA from 1 species
GACGAACGCUGGCGGCGUGCUUAACACAUGCAAGUCGAACGGAAAGGCCCUGCUUUUGUGGGGGGCUCGAGUGGCGAACGGGUGAGUAACACGUGAGUAACCUGCCCUUGACUUUGGGAUAACUUCAGGAAACUGGGGCUAAUACCGGCUAGGAGCUCCUGCUGCAUGGUGGGGGUUGGAAAGUUUCGGCGGUUGGGGAUGGACUCGCGGCUUAUCAGCUUGUUGGUGGGGUAGUGGCUUACCAAGGCUUUGACGGGUAGCCGGCCUGAGAGGGUGACCGGCCACAUUGGGACUGAGAUACGGCCCAGACUCCUACGGGAGGCAGAAGUGGGGAAUAUUGCACAAUGGGCGGAAGCCUGAUGCAGCAACGCCGCGUGCGGGAUGACGGCCUUCGGGUUGUAAACCGCUUUCGCCUGUGACGAAGCGUGAGUGACGGUAAUGGGUAAAGAAGCACCGGCUAACUACGUG